rnacentral:lncRNA from 1 species
UUAAUCUUUACAAAAAUGGCACGUCAAUUUAUCGUUUUUGCCCUUUUGGCUUUGGCUGUGGCCACCGCUUUCGCUGCCGACGCACCUUCAGCUGCACCCUCUGCUUCUCCGACCAAAGCACCCACCACCCAAACCAAGGCUCCCGCCUCCGCACCCAAAACCUCCUCCUCCGCCCCCGCACCCAAAGCAUCGUCCCCUGUCGCAGAGGAACCAACCCCCGAAGAUGAUUACUCGGCAACCAGCCCCAGUGACUCUGCCGAGGGACCCACCGUAUCCUCCCCACCGGCUCCUACCCCGGAAAGCACCUCCGCC